CCCUUAGAGUUUGAUCCUGGCUCAGGACGAACUCUGGCGGCGUGCUUAACACAUGCAAGUCGAGCGGGCGGAGGACUUCGGUCCAAAGCUAGCGGCGGACGGGUGAGUAACGCGUGAACAAUCUGUCCCAGACAGGGGGAUAACAACCUGAAAAGGUUGCUAAUACCGCAUAAGACCACGUUCUCGCAUGGGAAUGAGGUAAAAGGAGCGAUCCGGUUUGGGGUGAGUUCGCGUCUGAUUAGCUAGUUGGUGAGGUAACGGCCCACCAAGGCGACGAUCAGUAGCCGAUCUGAGAGGAUGACCGGCCAUAUUGGAACUGAGACACGGUCCAAACUCCUACGGGAGGCAGCAGUGGGGAAUAUUGGGCAAUGGGCGAAAGCCUGACCCAGCAACGCCGCGUGAGGGAAGAAGGUUUUCGGAUUGUAAACCUCUGUCCUAAGGGAAGAAGGAAGUGACGGUACCUUAGGAGGAAGCCCCGGCUAACUACGUGCCAGCAGCCGCGGUAAUACGUAGGGGGCGAGCGUUGUCCGGAAUGACUGGGCGUAAAGGGCGUGUAGGCGGCCUGUUAAGUUAGAAGUGAAAGUCCUGCUUUCAAGGUGGGAAUUGCUUUUAAUACUGAUGGGCUUGAGUGCAGAAGAGGUAAGUGGAAUUCCCAGUGUAGCGGUGAAAUGCGUAGAGAUUGGGAGGAACACCAGUGGCGAAGGCGACUUACUGGGCUGUAACUGACGCUGAGGCGCGAAAGCGUGGGGAGCGAACAGGAUUAGAUACCCUGGUAGUCCACGCGGUAAACGAUGAAUACUAGGUGUGCGGGGACUGACCCCCUGCGUGCCGCAGCUAACGCAAUAAGUAUUCCACCUGGGGAGUACGAUCGCAAGGUUGAAACUCAAAGGAAUUGACGGGGGCCCGCACAAGCGGAGGAACAUGUGGUUUAAUUCGAUGAUACGCGAGGAACCUUACCCGGGCUCGAACGGCAGAUGAAUAACUCAGAGAUGGGUUAGUCUUCGGACAUCUGUCGAGGUGCUGCAUGGUUGUCGUCAGCUCGUGCUGUGAAGUGUCGGCUUAAGUGCCAUAACGAGCGCAACCCUUGCCGUUAGUUGCCAUCAGGUUAAGCUGGGGACUCUAGCGGGACUGCCACCGCAAGGUGUGAGGAAGGGGGGGAUGACGUCAAAUCAGCACGGCCCUUACGUCCGGGGCGACACACGUGUUACAAUGGUGGGUACAGAGGGAAGCUACCUGGCGACAGGAUGCAGAUCUCGAAAACCCAUCCCAGUUCGGAUUGGAGUCUGCAACCCGACUCCAUGAAGUUGGAUUCGCUAGUAAUCGCGCAUCAGCCAUGGCGCGGUGAAUACGUUCCCGGGCCUUGCACUCACCGCCCGUCA
rnacentral:rRNA from 1 species